rnacentral:rRNA from 1 species
AUUCCAGCUCCAAUAGUGUAUAUUAAAGUUGUUGCAGUUAAAAAGCUCGUAGUUGGAUUUCUGGCGGGAGCGAUCGGUCCUUCACUCAGUGUUGGAACCUGAUUGUCUCCUGCCAUCCAUGGAGAAAACUUAUCUGGCAUUAAGUUGUCGGGUAGGCAAUCUCCAUCUUUUAUUGUGAAAAAAUUAGAGUGUUCAAAGCAGGCUUAUGCCGUUGAAUAUAUUAGCAUGGAAUAAUAAGAUAGGACUAUGGUACUAUUUUGUUGGUUUGUGCACCAUGGUAAUGAUUAAUAGGGACAGUUGGGGGUAUUCGUAUUCCAUUGUCAGAGGUGAAAUUCUUGGAUUUAUGGGAGACGAACUACUGCGAAAGCAUUUACCAAGGAUGUUUUCAUUG